GGUUAAGCGACUAAGCGUACACGGUGGAUGCCCUGGCAGUCAGAGGCGAUGAAGGACGUGCUAAUCUGCGAUAAGCGUCGGUAAGGUGAUAUGAACCGUUAUAACCGGCGAUUUCCGAAUGGGGAAACCCAGUGUGAUUCGUCACACUAUCAUUAACUGAAUCCAUAGGUUAAUGAGGCGAACCGGGGGAACUGAAACAUCUAAGUACCC
rnacentral:rRNA from 1 species